CAGCCGCCGCGGUAAUACGUAGGUGGCAAGCGUUGUCCGGAAUUAUUGGGUGUAAAGGGCUCGCAGGCGGUUUCUUAAGUCUGAUGUGAAAGCCCCCGGCUCAACCGGGGAGGGUCAUUGGAAACUGGGAAACUUGAGUGCAGAAGAGGAGAGUGGAAUUCCACGUGUAGCGGUGAAAUGCGUAGAGAUGUGGAGGAACACCAGUGGCGAGGGCGACUCUCUGGUCUGUAACUGACGCUGAGGAGCGAAAGCGUGGGGAGCGAACAGGAUUAGAUACCCGCGUAGUCCCUGUCUCUUAUAC
rnacentral:rRNA from 1 species